AAUAGAUACCCGGGUAGUCCACGCCCUAAACUAUGUCAACUAGUUGUCGGGGAAGAAAUUCCUUGGUAACGCAGCUAACGCGUGAAGUUGACCGCCUGGGGAGUACGGCCGCAAGGUUAAAACUCAAAGGAAUUGACGGGGACCCGCACAAGCGGUGGAUUAUGUGGAUUAAUUCGAUGCAACGCGAAAAACCUUACCUACCCUUGACAUGUACGGAAUUCCGCAGAGAUGUGGAAGUGCCCGAAAGGGAACCGUAACACAGGUGCUGCAUGGCUGUCGUCAGCUCGUGUCGUGAGAUGUUGGGUUAAGUCCCGCAACGAGCGCAACCCUUGCCAUUAGUUGCUACAUUCAGUUGGGCACUCUAAUGGGACCGCCGGUGACAAACCGGAGGAAGGUGGGGAUGACGUCAAGUCCUCAUGGCCCUUAUGGGUAGGGCUUCACACGUAAUACAAUGGUCGGUACAGAGGGCUGCCAACCCGCAAGGGGGAGCUAAUCCCAGAAAGCCGAUCGUAGUCCGGAUUGUAGUCUGCAACUCGACUGCAUGAAGCCGG
rnacentral:rRNA from 1 species